UCCCAGGUCCGGAGGGGCUCCUGCCGCCAGGCGGAUUUUGCAGCGCAGCACGCCGGGCGGCUUGGCCACAGGUCUGCCGGAUCCGAGGUUACUCCCGGGCGUUCAACUCAAUGGCCCUCUGUUUGUUACCGUGCACACCACUAGGUGGGUCCACAGACCGCUCCUGCCGCCCCUAGCAACCUCAAGCACCCCACCCACUCCCAGUCUGGAAUCCAAGCGCGAAGAGAGACGGGAGCCCAGGACUCGGAUGGGUGACCCAGAGGACAGAGAAGGGGUCGCUCCGCUCUGGCCGUGAGCGCUGGAAGCCGCCGUGCUUCCGGCGGGCAGAGAACUCGGGAAAGGCGCACCGGAGAGGGGAAGGAGGGGUGGACUGGGCAGACCUGCCCCGGAGGCCCUCCCGCUGGCACGGCUGGCCGUCCACACCGAGCAGGACGCUUUCCGGGCCUUCCACCCUGACCUCGAGCUCGUGUGCAAGUUCC
rnacentral:lncRNA from 1 species